rnacentral:snRNA from 1 species
AGCUUUGCGCAGUGGCAGUAUCGUAGCCAAUGAGGUUUAUCCGAGGCGCGAUUAUUGCUAAUUGAAAAAAAAAAUAGCCAAAUUGG